GUUCAGGCACCCCAAGUCCCAGAGUGAAGUGGCUCCCACCCGGUGUCACAGUCUGGAAGCAGCAGAAAGAUCUGAAGCCCAGCCCCCUGGUGACCCUGAGAGGGCAGGAAAGCCGGUGCUGGGCUGCCACCCCGGCUUGGCCAGGGAGCUCUGUGGCCUGGUGUGGGAGCGCUGGGGACAGGGCUGUGCCAGAGGACCCAGGGGACGUCAUGAUGGGGUGACAUCCACCCCAUGGGUCACGAGUCUGCAGGGCGGAGGGACCAGUCCUUUCAAAAGUUCAGAGACAGAGGAGUGGGCUGGGGAGAGGCGCGGAGCAGGCCCAGGAUGCACCCAGGUGGAGAGCAGCAGGGUGAGUGGGGACUGGGCAGGCCACCGGGGGUGAGGUCACCAAGCCCAGCUGUGGGGAGCCUGGAACCCCAGCCCACACCCCUCAGGUCGGGGGACAGAACACGUUGCACCUCCUCAUCCCACCCGGUGGUCCCAUGGCCUGGUGACUGGGCCUACUGAAAAGGGCGACAGCGCACAGACUCCCGUGAGGGGCUCUUGCAGUCUCCUCAGCUCCUCAGCCUCUUGGAGGCUGCAGGUUCUGCCACCAGCAUUUUCCUGCCAAGUGAACGGCUCAGAGAGGGGAAGUGACAUGUCUAAGUCGCACAGCUCCUGGCAGAAGUCGGCCACUCCCUCUCAACACUGCAGAGUGGCCCUCGCCCCCAAGGGCCCGCUCAGACUUGUCAGGAUCAUUUUGUCCUCAUCUCUUAUUGUCCAGUUAUUUUUCAUCAUUUAGACAAGCAUUUAUUGAGCACCUGCUGUGUGCCAGCCCCGUGACUAGGUGCAGGGGCCUUGCAGUGACCAACAUGAAGGAGAGACGGGCACUAAGCAUUCAGUACCUGGAACAAGGCAAUGGCAGGUGGGGACAGGGACUCCCAGGACAGAGAAGUGGGGCCGGGUGACGGGGCCCUGAAGGUCUCUCCUGGAGGGGCAUCUGUCCCCGAGCUGGGGGCUGGGGACAGUGCUGGCUCUGCGCCAGGGGCCACCCUGUGUGCUUCACGUGCCUUGGUCCUUAGGAGAGCCCCGUGACGAGGACUCACCAUCUCCCCUUCCUCAGCCGGGGCAGCCAAGGCACAAGGGAAGCGUCCCCCGAGGGCUGGGGGGGGCAGUGAGAGAGGGGACUCCCCCGAGGGAGGCAGGAAGGUCCUGCGGCCAGUCUCCCUGUCCUCUGUCCUCCCCCUCGCCCACCGAGUCUGUCUGGGGCUGGCUGAUCUGGAUGCCCCCGGCCGUCCCCUGGCUGUGGCCCCUCUGGAAGGCCUGCGAGCUCUCUGUGUCCUCUGCGGCCCCGUUUAGGGGGUGCUGAGGGCCGAGCAGCAGCAUCGGAGCGUCUCUUGCUCAGAGCUCUUCAAAGCUGGGAUUCCAGUCUAGGUCCCUCUGUGUCCCUAGCUCAGCCACCUCCCUGCUGGCCUGGUCCCACUGAAGGACAGACGGGCCCUGACCACUCUACACCCUACGGGAGGCCGGGGCACACACACACGCGCCACAUGGACGCUCUGAACUUCGUCCCCUGUCCUCUGGAGACCUUGGGCCAGGCGCUCGGCCCGUCUGGGCCUGGGCUUCCUCACCUGUGAACGGAGAGGACGACGGUCGUCCGGUAUCAGGGCUGUGGGCCCAGGACGGCCCCUGCCCUGGGAGCUGCGCAGCUCGUGAGGUGGCAGCGCAUUCUGAUUGUGACAAAGGCCUCAAAGAAAACCGAGUGGGGGCAGUGGCAGAGAGCACCUGGGCGGGGUACUUGGGGGGCAUCUGGGCAGAAGGGUCAGCAGGUGCAAAGGCCCUGAGACAGGCUGAGUCCGUGUGAGGGGAGAAGCCGGCAGCAGUGUGGGGCGGGGGGGAGGACAGCGAGGCGGCGGGGCCCUCACGCUGGGCCUUGGAGGCCAGGGCCAGGCUGAGAGAGGUUCAGAGGAGGAGCGCGUGUGUCCCUGCCAGGGCCUGGCACCAGAGAGUCCUUGAUGAGUCUGUUGACGGAAGGGAAGGGCGCAGUGCAGUGGGUGAAGGGUGCUGCGUGGCCUGCCCGACCCAGGAGAGCCGGGGGACAGCCUGUGACCCAGGGCCACAGGGAGCUGGUGGCCAGGCAGGAAGAGGGGCAGGGCUGGCCAGGAGGGGCCUGCAGGGAGGCUGGCGGCCAGGAGGGGGAGAGUGCUGUGGGAAACCCUGACUGCAGGCGAGAGGGCACAGCCCCGGGAGGAGGCCGGCCGGCGGCAGGGGAGGCAGGGCUGGCCGUCAGGGCCAGGGCGGUGAGGGCUGGGGACAGGCGGGAGGCUGGGCCCCUCGGGUGCUGUCUAUCUUUUAAGUUCCGAGGAGCAGGCUGUGGUGGGGGUCAGAGAAAGUGGAGCAUCACCAGGAGAAGGAGAUAAAGAGCUCCCACGGAUAGAACCCGGGACGGAACCUGGCGGCUCUGCUGUGUGGCCCUGGGUAGGUUCCUCCACCUCUCAGUGCCUCCGUCUCCUGGCUUAGGAAAUGAAGAGCUAUAGCACCCACCUCCUCAGGCCACGGUGAGGACUGAGUUCAUCCACACCAUGUGCCUAGAGCAGUGCUGGCACAGGGCACGUGGCAGCCGUCAUCGUCAUUGCCACUGUCACCACUUGGUGGGUUAAGACUCACGUGCUGGAAGAGGCCACCUGGGUUCCAGCUGCAAACCCACCCCCUCCUGGCUGUGUGACCUGGGCAAGUGAAUGUGUCUUGCAGGGCCGGCUUUUCCCUGUCUGUAACCAGGGACGGUAACAUUUCUCAGAAGGUUUUGAAAAGGGGAUCCUGCAGAGGACUGCCCAGAGGGCCCUGUGUGGUGGCCCACAGCCCACGGGGUCUUCAUUCUCCCUUCAUGGUCGAUUCGCAGUCACCCCUUCCUCCUCUCUCCUUUAGAAUGGGACUUCUCCGUCUUCAGGGACAAGAACCCUAUGAAGAGACUGCGUUUCCCAGCUUCCCUUGCAGCUAGGGGUGACCAGUGAGAUAGAAAUGGAAGCUGUAGGUGGGGCUUCCAGGGAAGGGCCUUACAGGGGGCUGACUCAGCUGUGCUUUCUUUCUUUACUGCACCCCAUCUUACUUCUUCCUACUUGCAACCUGGAACUGAGACGUGAUGGCCAGAGCUGCAGGAGCAAUCUUGAACCAUGAGACAAAUAUGGAAGCACAGAAGCCACGUGCUUCAUGUGUGGUGAUGAAACCCAAAGACAAGAGGCACUGGAGUUCUCUGUGUCAGGGACACAGCCACCCCAGACCUUUCCUGCCAGGCUCUGGGCUUGUUUACAUGGAGAAAAAGAAAUCUCUGCUACGGAGGCCCCGUCAUUUGGCUUCCUGUUACUGGCAGCUGAAUCUAUUUCUAACUGAUACAUUCGCCAAAGUGGAAUGGAGCCGCGUGAGCUGGUCUGUGACCUGCAUUUCUCCCCGUGGCCCAGCGCUGCCUUGUCUGAGGAUGUUUUAGGGAUACGUUGCCCGAGUGCAGAAAUGAGCUCUUUGCUCAGGAGAAAGAAUUUGUUUGAUUCCUUUUAAUUAUAGAAGACACCCUGCCACGAAAAUACCCUGCCUGUCUUCAGACGUCUUCCCCGUGACUCUCAGCGAGACUCAGUGAGCAUCAGGUCCGGCUUGAACCAGAGCCUGGAAUCCACAGGAACUUCUCUGCUGACCGAAUCCUGGUCGAAGCCACCAAGGGGCCCUGAGUUUGGGAACGGGAGGGUCAAGGUCGGCUGCAGCUUGGAGCGUGUUGGCAGCUGUGAGGGCCAGAUGCCCCGCGCCACCCUGAAUGACCCCUGGGCCCCACACCGCUGCCCGGCCACCUGCUCCCCAGAGGCCCUGGCUGGCAGGUCUGCAGGCGGCUUUGCCAGCUGCCCGGGGCCUGCCCAGCUGAGAUCUCUGAGGUGAGUCUGGAGCCGGGGAGCUGGGCCCGGGAGCUUUUAUUUUUAUAGCUGACUUGUCACCAGAUCCCUGUCCCAGCCCUGGAGCCCUGGCAGGGACAGAGGUGGCAGAGAGGAGGAAGGCUCCGGGGAAACUGGUGGCAGGGUCACGGGCUGUGGAGGAGGGAUCUGGGGCGGGGGUCAGGGCCCUGGGCGGCUGGUCACCCGUCUCCGCCCUCUGGUGCAGGUGGGGUCACUCACAGCUUGUCCGGCUGACCCUUGGGGUGUCCAGAGGGGCCUUUCCUGUGUCUGUCCCUGGAGCCCAGGUGCAGGGCUGGCCAUGCUCCUGUCCUAGAGCCCAGUCGGCACCCGUCCCCGCGAGACCUCAGCCCGCGGCUCACUGCCCCACCCUGCCCCCACUCCAGCCGCCAACGCCCGGCCUCCUGAGGGUCCCUUGUCUGUCUGUCCCUGGUGUGCGAGGGGCACACGGGUGUCGGCUCCUGGAUUUUGCUGGAACAGACCCCCCGGGGUCCAGGUCAAGGGACACCAGCACCCGGGGGGACCUGCGCACCACCCCCACACCGAGGGCGACCGUCAGAGCCCCCCUGUGUGUGCUUCACGGAGCGGACGGCGUGGCCUCGGGUCUGCCUUCUGACCUGGCAACGUCACUGUCACAGGGCCCAGGUCCUGCCCCCCUGCGGCACGGCGGCCAGGCCGACCCGCCGCGCGGCUGUCCCUCCACUUAACUUGCCAUGUUGCUGCCCACAGGGGACAGACAGACCUGGGUGGACUCAGUUGGGGGGACGCGGGGCGCUUUGCCCAGCCGUGGGGGGGGGUCUGUUCUAAUUCUUGCGCUCGCUCUCUCUCUCUCUCUCUCGCUCUCUCUCUUUUUAAUUAUCAUUUUGAAAAAGAUCUCAAACUGAUGGAAAACUGCGGUACCCCACGGAGAACCUUCUUCUCAGUUGUUUGUGAAUAAAUUGCCGAUCUGUCCGUUGUCCCCGCGUCCAUGAUGUUUUGAAAUGUGGUUCCGUGGCAGGGGACAUCUGUCGCUGUCACUACAGCCCAGUAUGGAAGCCGGACACAGGCUCACCGCCGGCCGGCGCGGCCCGAGGGUCCGGCUGGGACUCACAGGGUGCCCAGUGCCUCGCCUCCUCGGCCUCCAGGAGGGAGGCCGGCGCCUCGGGCUUCCCUUGGCGUUGGUGACCUUGGUGCCUUGGAGGACACAGGCCGGCUGCUCUGCGGCCUGUCCCUGCCGGCUGUAUCGCGGGGUUGGACUCAGGUCCUGCUUCGCUGCAGGAAGCAGAGGGCCCUGGUUCAUCUGUCCUCUGCUGGCCGGUCAGGGCGGGGCGGGGACCACGCAAACAGCCGGCGCCUCAUCAGACGUCCAGCCACCCUCGGUUCUGACUCGGGGGCACCUGGCUCCUGGCCCACCCGAGUCCCCACCUCAGCUCCCAGGUUGUGACGUCCUGAAGCCUCUCCAGUGCCCACACCACACCAUCGUGAAUUCAGAGCAGUGACAGACGACCUGGGCCACAGAGCCCCCGGUGCUGCUGGCCCCGGUACCUUUCCUCCGUAGCCAGGGGCCUGGUGGGAAGCCAGUGGCUGAAGACAGUCAGGGCCUCCGUGAGUGCCGCGGAGGGGGCUGGGAAGUCUUGGCAUCUGGAGUAGGAUCGCGCUGUCCUGGGACCGAGCUGUGCGCCCCAGGGUGUGGGGCAGCGUCUCUGGUCUCCACCCCCUAGAUGCCAGGAGCAGCUUCCCCAGUUGUGAUGACCCAGAAUGUUAUCCCAAUUGCUAAAUGUCCCCUUGGGGGCAAAAGCCCUCUUGGUUGGAAAUCGCUGCUGUGGAGGGUGCAGGGGGCUGAGUCCUGAGGGCUGGGUGGCUCCCUGUGUGGCCUCCCUUCCCCAUUACUCGGGGACCAGGCAGGGCCCAGCACCCACAGGCCUGCUGCCCGGUCGGACUCGAAUUCCGGCUCCUCACGUCUGGGGUAGGUUCUGGGACACAGGGCGAGGACCGGGCCAGGAGACAGGCCUGGGCCUUGGCAGCCUGCGCGGCCGCUCCCCCGGGCCCGGCCCUCCCUGCAGGUGCCGGGAGGGGAGAGUCGCCAAAGCCAGCUCCUCUCCUCCUGUCCCGGCUCCGUGGGGCGGCGUCCCUCACCGUCCUCGAUUUCCAGCAGGGAGAAGUCACAGCUGUGCGUCACCUGAUGGGACACACGGGAAUACGGGAUCGUCUCUAUCAUAUCCCUGCAAAGAUGCACAACCUGAGUCCCAUCAGGACACGUCACCCGCCGGGGUAGGGGACAUGCCACAGGAGGGCUGGCCGGGCACCAAGGCCAAGGGCACCCAGGGCUCAGAGGAAGGAGGCGUCUCUAGCUGAGGGGAGCGGGCUGAUCGGGGUCCAGGCAGGCCACACAGCCGUGCGGGCCGGGUGGAACGUCACCAGGGCCUGUGGGUUUGAUGACAGGAUUGUCAAAGAUAGAACGUCCUGACUGCUGUCCCCACCAGGCCGUGUUGGAGGUCAGGAGGUGGUGCAGGAGGUGUGGGGGAAGGUGACCUCGCGACCACAGCGACUCCAGAUAAUGACUAGAGGACAGGUGGCUAAGUGGGGCUGGAGGAGGCCCCGGGCCCCUGGACACAUGGUCAUCUUUCCGCAAGUUCAAAAUCAUGUCAAAAUCAACCCCGGCCUUCAGUGUGCCCCGAGGAAUAGACCCGCACAUAGAAGGGCCCGCAGGCCACUCUCCGCAGUUUCAUUUACAGUCGCCCCAGCGGGGGGCAGCCAGGACCUCCAGCAAGGAGAGGGUAAGUCGGACGGGCGGACAGCGAGGGUGGCCCGCGGGAGCUCCAGAGUGAGGCUCAGGAGCCGGCAGCAGGUCUGGGAGCCACAGGGGUCCCCUCCGUGGCCAAGGGGUCAUUGCCGGGAAAGGGCAGGGAGCAGCCGUCUGGGUUGCUGAGAAGUUUCUGUCCUGACCCGAACGUGGCCCUGUGAUCGGGUGAAGUUCACGUGUGAGAGACAGCCACCACCCCGGCCACGUGCGGGAGGGACGCCACCUCUCGGACGUUGAACCUCCAUGUCACCAUCAAAACGAAGACCCCCAAGAGGCCCAGCAAACAGGGGGAGGAGGUGGGCAGGGAGGGGGGACUGGAGACGGGGAGGUGAACAGCUGACCCCGCGCCUCGUGCGGGCAACUGUGCUGGGAGUUGAGAACCCCGGGGUUCCAAAGCUCAGAGAGGGGGUGUGGAUUGCCUGAGGUUGCACAGCGGGAGGGUGUACGGAGCCCACAGUGUGUCUCCAGUGCUCCUCCCGCCUGGCCUCUCCCGCCUGACUGCCCUGCUGUGCUCGGGAGGCUCUCCAGGGCCGGGAUGGCGUAACCAGCGCUUGGCAAAGACGGCGCAGCCCGGAGCUGGCGGCUCCCAGUGGGGAGGGGGUCAGUGGGGCAGAGGGCAGCUCCAUCCUGAGCCUCCUCCCUGGCCGGCUGGCUGCCAACCCCUGCCCGCCGGCCUUUGCCUUUCUUCCUGGGCCAGUGGUGAGCUCGGAGCCCCCGCAGGCUUGGGUGCCAGUCUACGCCCUGGUCUACCUGGCCGUGCGGCCUGGGCGCUGCCCACUCUGUGUCCGUCCCCCGAGGGGUCAGGAGGCCUCACUCCUCAGUGCGUGCGAUGGCCCCUUCUGUGGCGGGGAGCCCGUGGCCCUGCAGCCUCCCAGCGCCUACCUGUCACAAUGGCUGCCGCGGGGAGGGAAGUGCAUGACGGGGCUCUGGCUGGGGAGGUUACUGGAGAGCCCCAGCUUGCCACCGCGUUGGUGAGGUUCUCGGUGGGCAGGGAGGGGCCAGAAGGGGCCAGGGAGGGCGUCGAGGGUGGUGGCUGUCACCUUGCAGUUCUUAGUGAUCCUGGGAGAGGUCCUGGUCCUGCCUGGCAGGAUGGUGGCCCUGUGAGCUGGUGGCCCCAGCUCGUCUGCAUCUGCCCCUGGAAGUGGGGAGGAGGGGACAGCAGGGCCCGGGAGCCGAUGAACCCGGGUGGACUUCUGCUCUGAACAGAGGACCAAGGAUGGGCACCGGGCGCAGGGGACCCAGGAGCUGUUGGAUUCCCGCUUGGCCCGAGUUCCCAAUGACGGUCACCGAGGCAGCCACUCUCCACCCCCGGAGACGUCCCCACAAGCUGCGGUCAGCCUGUGGUCCGGCCCGGCCGCCCCCGCCCCGUCCAGCGCCCUUGUGGGGUCUGGGCUCUAAGCUCCAGGUCUUUCUAGGGUUUCUUCCUUCUUUGCAAAUGUGUCUCCUUCUUUUUUUCUCUGAAAAAGAAUCUUCUUUGGACUCUGGACUCACUGGGGCGGUACCAGGUGGGCACAGAGCAGCUGGGCCUCUCUGUAGCCACCGGAGGCUGUUGGCACCUGGGAACCAGUGCUGGGUGCCGGGCGGGCCAGCUGGGCUUCCCGGGAGGACUCUGCGGGUCUUGGGACGCCGCUGUCCUGAGGGCUGGCAGACGAGAGGCUCUGAUCCCUUCAGCCAGUCGUGACAUCUGCCUAAAAUCUGAGGUGGCACGAGGAUGCGCCUCUCUCCUCUCUGUCUCCCUGCGACGCUGGAGGGAGAAGGCGGGCAUUUAGCCACCCACCUGCAACCCCAGGAAUUUUAUUUUUCAUAUUUAGAGACAAGAUCUCCCUAAGUCCCUGAGGGCUCUUAAGUUGCUGAGGCUGGCCUUGAACUUGGGAUCCUCCUGCCUCAGCCUCCUGAGUCGGGGAAUCGCAGGCUGUGCUCAUGGUGUGGACUUUUUUUAAACCACCACGGUCAGCCUUCCUGUGAGAACAUGCCUCAGCCAUCUGCUGUUGGGGACGUUCGGUCGACCCCAGGUUUUGGUCCUGGACACGGAGCUGCCGGGGACCAGGUACGGUGCCGCUGUCCUCCCUGCUGGCUCUGACCCUGGGCUGGAGUGUCCGGCAUUGCCCGGGGCUUUCAUUCGCACCUCAGAGGAGCCUUGUUUGUCUCACCCCCAGGGGACUCUUGGCACCACGUCUGAGGGACUUGUGCUCUACCCUGUGAAGCCCUCUUGUCUGGGUGGGGACGCCACAUGCCCAGUGCCCAGCAAAACAGAUGUCGGGCACUGGAAGCAGCGGGGACAGAGCCCCAGACCGACUCACCCCUUCCCAGAGCCCACGGGCCCCGGGUCAGCUGGGUUCCCUGGGAGCCCGGGAGGCGCAGCAGAGGCCCGUUUAUCAGCAGCCACGGGCCUGGCACUUUCUGAAGAAGAAAAAUAAGUGCGGAGGUCGCAGAGUCCUUGAGAGGAGCCAGUGGACGGCCCUGGGACAGUGCUGGCCUGCAGGACAGCUCCCUCCAGGCCUUGGGUAUUUUCCCAAGUCCUGCCCUGGGGCAGGGGUCGAAUGAGGCAGGCUGGGCUGGCCGGGCCGGGGCCAGUGUCCCUCCAGGAGGGCAGGCCCGGCUGGUUCUUCCAAAGAGGGGCGGGAGGUGGAGCAGGUCCCCAGGGGACGUCCCCCGGCCCUGUGCCCGCCCUGGCCCCCACCUGGCCUUUCUCUUGGCUGCUGUUGGGUUUCUGCUCCCUCGAGGCUGCGUUUGUCACCAGGCUCCGUCUCGUCCCCCGGCUCCCCAUAGCCUCAGAGGCCGAGGGCAAGGGCCCAGCCCUGACCCUGGGCUCUGGGAGUGGAGCAGGACGCCCAGCUGGACCCUUCAGUCACUGGCCACGGCCGCUGCCCCAGGAGUCCUCCUUCCUCCAACGCAGAGGCCGGGGCUCCCCCAGGGAGGCCCACUUUGGGGCUUUGCAGCUCGAAGCCCAGAGACCUGCAGCUCCAUCCUCCUGACUGCGGCCACCGAGAGGGCUCCUCUGUCCCACAAUGGCCACCUGGGGGUGUGCGCCUGUGCAUCGUGAAGUUGUUGGGGCCAGGAUCGCUGUGACACUGUGUGGAAACAGAUUGGGGACCACCGGGGUGGCGGUGAGCGAGGGGGCUGGGGCAGGUGUGGAGGCAGGAGGACCAGGCAGGGGGACAAGGCAGGGGACCAGGUGGGGGACCAGGCAGGGGACCAGGCAGGGGACCAGGCAGGGGGACCAGGCAGGGGACCAGGCAGGGGGACAAGGCAGGGGACCGGGCGGGGGACCAGGCGGCCCUGCAAUGGGGAAGAAUGUUCCUGUGGGACAAGAGCUCUGGGCCACGUGGGGGAAGGCGCAGAGGACCGUCCUCUCAGUCCUGGGUUAGAACGGAGACGUGCAGAGAUCAGGGAUCAGGAAGGACUCCAGACCCGGUGGCCUCUGCAGGAGCCCGAGGCGGGGGCUGGAUCCCGGGCCAAGCGCUGGGUCAGCUGAGUGGUCCUGAGGGAGGCAGCCUGAGCCUCCGAUUCCCCAGGUGCAGGCGGGGGGACAGCGAGGGAGGCUCACGUGGGGCCUCCCUUUCCAGCAGCCCCCUUGGCCCAGGGUGUGGGGGGGAGGGGGAGGGGCCGGUCCAGGGCUGAGCUGGAAGAACCUGCAGGUUGAGAGCAGGCCCCCACCCCACGCCCCAGGGGAUGGCCCAGGAGCGCAGCCCCCGCCCAGGGGAGGGCGGAGGGGCUGGGCCUGAGCCGGGUGGGGGCAGAGGAUGGAGCCUUGGGGGAGAGACAGGCAGGUCAGAGCCGGGGGAGACAGGCCCUGGGGUGCAGCAGGAGGGAGGCGGGGCCUGGUGCCCCCUGGGAUGGGCGUCUGGGUGCAGGGGGCUGGGGGCAUCCAGCUGGGCCAGGGCAGCCCUAGGAGCCGGGCUCCUCACUCCUCUCCCUCCAGCCUCCCUGCGGAGGCAGGGCUGGUGGCCUCCCCGAGGUCCUUCUUGGAGAAGAGCUGGGGAUUCCUGAGGGGAAGCCGAGCUAACUAGUUCUCAGCACUGACAUCAUCGCAGUCUGGAAUGUUCCCUUGGGGUCCCCCCGGGGUGGGGGGUGGGGGGGCGUGUAGCCAUGAGGCCGCCAGGGUGCUGGGUUUGUCCUCUCAGACCUGCGGACACCUAGCAUCUAGAAGACAGGCCUGGGCCCUCAAGUGAGAGCUAUGGUCACCCGGGCCCCCAGGUCAGUGUGGGAGAAGCCCAAAGGGGCCCUGGACUCCACUCUGAUCAGGUCCAUCCCAUCCCCUGCCUUUGAAGCCCCCCCACCCAUGGCUUUAAGCUAAACUCCUGGCUCCUCGCCUCAGCCAGGGGCUGGGGAUCUGCUCUUGCUCCUGCCUCAUCAAGCUGGCCCUCCCUGUCUCCACCCCCCCAUUUGCAUUGCAGGAACACAGCAGGCUCGGCCACCUCAGGACCUUUGCAUGUGCUGUGCCUCCGUGUUCUUCUCCCGAUCCUCCCAGAAUUCUGCCCUAGGCAUCGGCCUCCACUCCAGCCUGCCAGGCCUCCCUGCCCUUCUCCGUGAGCAUCCUGUCCACUUCAUGGUGUUCCGCAUUGAUACGGAUGCUGGCCUUCUCAUGGGGCUCUCCGAGGACAGACACCAGGUCACUCAUCACUGCCGUGUCCCCAGGGACCUCUGCCAGCAAGCACCAUGGAAGCAGCUCGGGCCAUUUGCAGCAUGGGUUCCUCCUGGGAGGGACCCACUGACCCGGGUCCCCAGCCCGUCCCUCCCAGUGUUGCCUCACAAGGUCCUCUCUGUGUCCUCAGCCCCACGGGGUGACCUGGCUGAGACGUGGUCAUGAAUCACUGGCAUCUCUUGGCUGGCCGUGGCCACCGAAUCAGGGAACCUAGGUGUCCUGCAAGACAGUGCCCAGGACUGGGGAGGCACCUGCGCCAGGGACCUGCUGGGUGGCCUUGGCAGGCCGCUGGCCUCCAGGUGGCACAGUCGGCCACCCACGGGGAUGGAGGAGCUGGUGGAGAUGGGGUCUUCGGCUGGGAUCCUUGGGAUGUGACUGAUUCUCAAGGGGACGGCUGGGCAGGCCUGGUGUCCCGAGGACUCCACCAAGAGGCUGGCCUGCAGAGGGAGGGGACGGCAGACCCGGCCUAGGACCCUAGGGCCUGAGGUUCACGAGUGUCCCCGGCUGGAGCUGCUUCCAGGGCACAGCCCACCAGGCCGGGUCCUCCCCAUGGGGAAGGGGCCAUGGGCUCCCAGGUCGCGGGAACCUGUGUCAGGGGUGCUCUCAGCCCGGCAGCCAUGUCACCCCUCUGGCUCUCUCAGCCCCCACCCACCUCGUGCUGUCCUCCACGGUCAGAUGCCGCUGGACGGGCCGCAGCCUCCAGGUCCCAGCCUCCUCUCCACCAGCUGCCAGCUGACCUUGCGACACGCAGGCUGGGAUCGUGACCCUGCGCUGCCCUCUGACCUCCCUGACUCCCACCCCUUGGGAACAGACUGACCCCCUCGCGACCUGUAGGUGCCCAUCACGGUGUCCCCGUCCCCCUCCUGUCUCCCUCCCCCACCCUCAACCUGCGGGACUUCCUGGGGUUCUUUCUGCAUUUCCUGCUCCCGCCUGGUCCAGGGCCUUUGCCUCUGCUGCCGCCUCUGCCGGGAAGCCCUCCUCCCUUCUCUCCCAGCCAGUGCCCAGGCUCAGACCAGGGACUCUCCCUCGGGGUGCUGCGGGGACCCACCCGGGCUGGCUGCUAGGGGCCCGCAGCGGGAGUCCCUCUGGGGCAACUGCCUCUGAGGGCAGGCGCCUCCUCACCUGGGAGGUCCUCCCACCCCCAGGCGCAGACGGGACACAGCCCAGCACCGAUGAGUCAGGGGCACGGGAACGCAGCCUCCCCGUCCCGCAGGCUCGGCCCUGGGCCGGCCACACUCCAGAUCCUCCACCGUGGGCUCCGCGAGGCCCUGUCCAGCCCUGCCCUGCCCUGCUCCCCUCGCUCCCUCUCUCCCGGGGCAUGUCCUCAUGAAUCACGCGCACCCCAGCCUCUGCUCUGGGACAUCUGCUUCUGAGCAACCUGAGCCCAGACACGUCCCCAGAACGUCCCUUCCCACCACUCCCCGCCCCUGCUCUGGUCCCGUCUGCGGGGAUCUCUCUGGCAGCCCUCACGGUGGCCAUGUCUCCGCGGUGGCCAGAUGAGUGCUGGGUUGAAGCCCGACCCCCACUCCAGAACGUCAGGCAGGGAUGGUGUUGACACGCUCUGCUGUGUUCCCAGUGCGCAUCACGGGGCUUGGCACACAGUGGGGGUUCAGUAAAUAUUUGUUGAAUGAGUGAACAAACAGUGGGGUGAGUUGGAGGCACUGCUGUUAGGGCUCCUGAUUCUACAGUCUCCACUCAGGCUCCUCGGAGCUGCAUGAUGGCUGCCAAAGCACCUGCCAUCUCGUCCUCACACUGCUGAAGCUAAGGCAGGAAAAGGCCCUCCAAAGGAGAAACCUGUUCCAAGGAGCCCCCUGGGCAGCUUCUCCUCCACCGACCACACCUACAUUCCAUGUCUAGCCUCAGCCAAUCGCUGCAAGGGGAGGGAGAGGGCCAUGUUUGACUUGGGCCAAUCAGCAUUGGCUUCUGGGCUCAGUGGGCAGAGCCUACCCUGGCCAAGGAGGAGGACAGCUGGCUACAGCUGCAGGCCCCCUGAACCCAGGCGCUUUGAGUGUCCCCAGGGCUUUGGAUCUCCGUCCCCCUGUCCUCCUGUCCCUCCUGUCCUCCGUCUCUGGGGAGCCCAUGGGUGGCGGGUGUGAGGGGAGGGGGGCUGGGCAGGGGUCUAACAAUCCAGGCGGCCAGACACCUUCACCUGGGUCAAUAUUUAUGGAGCCCGGAGGGAACGGGGGCCCAGGAGGGCUGUAGGAAGAGGCAGCCCACAGCCAGAGAGGCCCAGAGACGAGGACAGACGGGCUGGUCUGAGAACCAGGAGGGAGGCCAGCGGGGUCUGGGGGCAGGGCCUUGGCUGCAGGCCCCCCCUCAGGCAAGACCAGCAGCCCCACCUGGGCGUGUCCCUUCUCCAGCCCGGGCCGUGGUGUCCCCCUCUGCCAAGUGGCGCCCCUCAGGGAGAUCACCAUGGGCCUGGUGGCCUCCUGUGACCUGUGAACAGCCCUGCAUGGUGGGUGGGAGCUUGGGCCUCAGGGGACAGCAGGCACGUGCCCAGGUCACAGUGGUAGUGGCAGACUGGAGCCUGUGUGCAUGCGUCGCCCCAGGCCAGGAGGGGCUGGGAGGUGGGACGGGGACUCUGUGUGCCAAGGGCUAGCAGCAAUGGUCCUGCUAGCAGCAAUGGCCGCUGGGUCCCAGUGUUCCCGGGCUGGGCGUCGGCCGUGCGGGAGGCAGGCUGACUUUCCUCAGCUCCUGGUCCUCACUUCACAGGGAGGACGCCUCAGAGACUGCCCAGCAGUGGGGUGCAGGGCCUGAGGGCCCACAGGCCCGGGGCCCAGCCCCUGGUCCACCCUGACAGGCCAGCUGACCUGGACGGCCACGUCUUCUGUCCCAGCCUCAGUUUCCCCACUUGUAACACAGGAAACCUCAGUUGACCCGCUGACGUGUGGACAGUGAGGAGUGCACAGGGGACCUGCCCACGGGCCAGGCACACACAGGUGCCCAACAGGGUUGGCCGUGGUCACAUUAUUAAAAUCACUUUUAAAAG
rnacentral:lncRNA from 1 species